UAAAAGUCGUAACAAGGUUUCCGUAGGUGAACCUGCGGAAGGAUCAUUAAUGAAUUGCUGGGAGGUUGUUGCUGGCUCCUUUGGGGGCAUGUGCACACCUUUUACCUUUCUUUCCACCUGUGCACCGUUUGUAGGCAGAGCCUAUGAUUUUACAUACUCGAUAACAUAUGUGUAUUGGUUGGCUCUUAAUAUAAAUACAACUUUCAACAAUGGAUCUCUUGGUUCUCGCAUCGAUGAAGAACGCAGCGAAAUGCGAUAAGUAAUGUGAAUUGCAGAUCUCAGUGAAUCAUCGAAUCUUUGAACGCACCUUGCGCCCUUUGGUAUUCCAAAGGGCAUGCCUGUUUGAGUGUCAUUAAAUUCUCAAAGUUUAUGUUUUUAAGCUUUGGAUUUGAAGAUUGCUGGCUUACUCCAGAGUCAGCUUCUUUGAAAUGCAUUAGUAGGAUCAUCAUGCUGGAUCGAUACAGGUGUGAUAAGUUAUCACCAUCUGAGAUUAGGCAAGAACUUGCUCAUAACUCUUUCUUUGAUCUUUGACCUCAAAUCAGGUAAGACUACCCGCUGAACUUAAGCAUAUCA
rnacentral:rRNA from 1 species